rnacentral:rRNA from 1 species
UGGAGGGCAAGUCUGGUGCCAGCAGCCGCGGUAAUUCCAGCUCCAAUAGCGUAUAUUAAAGUUGUUGCAGUUAAAAAGCUCGUAGUUGAAUUUUGGGUCUGGCCGGGCGGUCCGCCCUCUGGGUGAGCGCUGUUCCGACGUCGGGCCUAUCCUUCUGGUGAGUCGGCAUGUCCUUUAUUGGGUGUGUCGGGGAACCAGGACCAUUACCUUGAAAAAAUUAGAGUGUUCAAAGCAGGCGUAUGCUCGGAUACAUUAGCAUGGAAUAAUGAAAUAGGACGCGUGGUGCUAUUUUGUUGGUUUCUAGAACCGCCGUAAUGAUUAAUAGGGAUAGUUGGGGGCAUUAGUAUUCAAUUGUCAGAGGUGAAAUUCUUGGAUUUAUUGAAGACUAACUUCUGCGAAAGCAUUUGCCAAGGAUGUUUUCAUUAAUCAAGAACGAAAGUUAGGGGAUCGAAGACGAUCAGAUACCGUCGUAGUCUUAACCAUAAACUAUGCCGACUAGGAAUCGGGCGAUGUUACUCUCAUGACUCGCCCGGCGCCUUAUGGGAAAC